AGAUAGAUUGACAUAAGUCGAUAAUGAGAGGACAACCAAAGGUAUACUAAACCCUAGACCUUCCUAUCAAUUACCGAUAACACCAACCUCUUACGAGGACACAACGGAAACGGAUCCCCGAGCAUGUUUCUAGACGACCAAAGAAACUCCCAACAAGUUUCUAUAAAAACACUCGCAAGUGUAUUUAAAACAUCAUCAUUCAUUAACUACCUAACAAUGAAAGAAAACUAGCUAUUAAUAGCCAUGGGCUAUUUAUUACACAAUGGGCCCAAAAGUGAUCCUAAAAGCUAUUGGGCCCAAAAGUGCGACUCAAAGCCCAAAACAUUGGAAUGGGUGCCCAUACUCUCUCGAAGCCCAAGCUAUCAUCCAAAUGCGGUGUCACUCAUUCCUUUCUUGGAGGAUAUCACCAAAUAUAGCUUUUUUCCAAGCUACCCUCCAUUCACGUAUUUGACCUGCUAAAACGACCAAGUCUUGAAUCCGUAGAUGUGAUCCUUGAGCAUCGAUCCCAAAGGAGUGGAGCCCAUUGAUCUUGUAUCAUCCUCUCUUUCUUGAAGAGGAUUCGUCCUCGAAUCCAACUCCUUUAUCGACUUGUCGUUGCACCUUUCAAGUUUGAAAUUCUUUGGUAAGAAUUCCGUUAGGCUUUUAAGCUCAUUUUCAUAUGGCAUUCUCCUUGCAUCCUCCUUCGAUAUUAUUUGUUCAUGAACCGGCACAAAUGAAAGAGUGAUGCUAGGUAAAAUGCUAGCAUCAUGGUUAGCGAGUGACAAAGGUUCCAUGUUGGAAUUGGUUCUUUCAAUUUGGAUUUGGGUUAGUUGAACAAUGUCUUCGGGAACUUGGUUUGUAGUGGGUUGGGUAGAGGGAAUAUGUUCUUGAGGUGGAAUCGGAUGUGGUCUUUGGUAAUGGGGUGUUUGGUGGUGGAAUUGUGGUGGUUGGGGUACAUUUGGUGGGGUUUGGGUAGUAAGACAUGUCACCUUUUCCAUGUUCCCUUUCAAGCGUGACCCAUUCUCCGAACAACUAUUCAAUUCUUGUCGCCCAUCCAUGAUGGCUUCCCAUAAGGUUUAAGGUUUUCAAUGUUGCACCACCCAUAGUUCUUUAGCACAAUUGAGAAAAGGGAUGAAACAACAAUUGAUGAUUCUUUUGGAGGUUAAAGACUCAACUUAACGAAGAAAGACACGACAAAAAGCACACAAAAGAAGAACAAACAAGAACUAAACUAAGCACGACAAAAAGCACACAAAAGAAGAACAAACAAGAACUAAACUAAGCACGACAAAAAGCACACAAAAGAAGAACAAACAAGAACUAAACUAAGUAGAUUACGGUUUAGUUGUUAAUUAGUAUCAAGAAUCAAAGAAAUGAAAUGAGGAAUUAAUAAAUGAAAUUAAUGAGUUUGGAACCUGAUUUGAUGGAGUUUUGAAGUCGAUAAUGUGUUCAAGAGAGUUGGAGGUGCGUUGGAAGUGUGUCAAGGCAGCCUAGGUGCAUGUCAAGAGCACAUGCGGCUGCUUCAAGGUGCGGCCGCACCUUGAGGGCAUAUGGAAUGCAGGUGGGUCGCAGCUGGGGACUUGCUUGCUUGCUGGUUUGGCCUGCAUCUGAGGUGCUGGAGCAGACCAGCCACACACCCAGCGCAGGUCAGGCGCACCUCACCCUCUCACAGCUCAAAAAUUGUACUUUGGACCUCAAAUGGUCCCCUUUUUAUCCUCUCUUGGGAAUAUUCUUUCGGAUCUUCAAAAAGGUGCUUGUACAAAUAAUUUGGUACACCCUUUUCUGCACUUUUGAGGAUCAAACAACCACCUUUUGAAGAAAAUUCCCCUUGAAGAUUUGAAUUUCUCCAAGAACACUCAAGAACGCCAAAACUUCAAAAUUCUCUAUCUCUUCAAAUGUUGAGCGGAAUGCGAUGAAAUUUUGAACCAAAGCUAUUUUCAACCUUCUAAACACAUUCCAAGCAUCAAUUUCCUCAGAUUCUCAACCAAAACUUUCAGAUUUAACUCCACCUUCAACCUUCAAACUUGAGCUCCCAAUAAUGGUAGACCCUCCGAUUCACCUUCGAUUGAGCUCAAAUUCAAGGGUUAGACUCUAAUAGUGUUAGGAAACAAGAAUCUAACACUAAAACGCUAGAAAAACAACAAAAUCAAAGACUCAAAAUUUGACCUAAAGACAAAAACGUGAAUAGUGAAUUUUUUUGUGAUUUUUCGAUUUUUCAACACAACGAGACCCAAGAUUGACUUUGUAGAAACAAAAUCAAGCUCGGUUCUGAUACCAAAUGAUACGAGACGAAACUACGAAAAUGAAAACAAUACGAAAACACUAAAACUCAAAAGCACAAGAAUAAGGAAACAAAACAAUGAAAGUUAAGGAAUGAUAGAUUGACGUAAGUCGAUAUUGAGAGUACAACCAAAGGUAUACUAAACCCUAGACCUUCCUAUCAAUUACUGAUAACACCCUCUUACGAGGACACAAUCGAAACGGAUCCCGAGCACCCACGUUUCUAGACAACCAAAGAAACUCCCAACAAGUUUCAAUAAAAACACUCGCAAGUGUAUUUAAAGCAUGAAAGAAAACUGGCUAUUUAUUACACAGUGAGCUCAAAAGUAGCCCAAAGCCUAAAACAUUGGGACGCCCGUACUCUCUCGAAGCCCAAGCUAUCAUCCAAAUGCGGUGUCACUCAUUCCUUUCUUGGAGGAUAUCACCAAAUAUAGUUUCUUUCCAAGCUAUCCUCCAUUCACGUAUUUGACCUCCUAAAACGACCAAGUCUUGAAUCCGUAGAUGUGAUCCUUCAAGCAUCGAUCCCAAAGGAAUGGAGCCC
rnacentral:lncRNA from 1 species